GUGGGAUCUUGUAGGUAGGAAGUGUUUCCUCUUUUGUUGUGUGUGUGGUCAAGAAAGGAAGGAAACAAAGUCAUAAAGAUGUUCCAAAUCCAAAUCAAAGCAGGAGGAAUCGAUUUCUGUUUACAAGCUAAGCAGCUCUGUUACCGAUCUUGCGAUACUGAGAAUGCUGAGCCCGCCGAAGACGACAGACCACCACCACCACCACCAUUUCUCUUCUUCGAAGGAAGGAACCAUUAUGAAUCCGCAGGGACAAGGUUCUUCUCCUCCUCCUUACCCAUGCCAUUGUUGUUGCAGUGGUGGUGGUGUCAAUGGGGAAAGGAAAUCGUCAUCGUUUUGGUCGUCAUGUCCACCUGGUUUCAGAUUCCACCCAACCGACGAGGAACUCCUCCUUUACUAUCUUAAGCGCAAAAUCUUCCGCCGCCAUUGCCUCAACCUCGACAUUAUUGUCGAAACCGACAUCUACAAGUGGGAUCCUGAGGAUUUGCCUGGUCAAUCGGGGUUGAAGAGCAGGGAUAGGCAAUGGUACUUCUACAGUACGAGGGACAAGAAGUACCCUAACGGCCCUCGAUCCAACCGUGCCACCCUUCACGGCCACUGGAAAGUCACCGGUAAGGUUCGGAACAUCUGCUGCAAUAAUAACAGGAUCGUGGGCACGAAGAAGACUUUGGUCUUCUACAAGGGCCGUGCUCCGUCUGCUGAUCGCACCGACUGGGUCAUGCAUGAGUAUACCAUGGACGAUAGCCAGCUUCCGGAUUCCCAGCUUUUCCCUCAUCAGGAAUCCUAUGUUCUGUGUAAGGUUUACAAGAAGAACGGGCUUGGUCCCCGGCAAGGCGAGCAUUAUGGGGCACCAUUUUCAGAAGAGGAUUGGAACAAUGACCUUGAUAAUAAUCUGCCGGAUGAUAACUUAGCCACCCAAAAUUCUUCUUUAAAUGGAGAUGCAGCUAAUAUUAAGCUAGAGGAAGAGAUUUUGAAACGAAUCACACCUGAACACGAAAUUAGCCAACCCAUCACUACCAACGUUUGUAACUAUGUACCCCAUCAGAUGACUAACACAACAUCUGGAACGCAGUUAAAGAGAAAGUUAAACGCAGUUGAUGGAAAUAAGUCAGAACUGAGGCUUGUGGGAGGUUACAAUAACUGUGAAGUUCAAAAGAAGAUGGAUGAUCUAAAAAAACAGCUGGAAGAAAAAGCAGAUGAAAUGGAAGAUUUGGAAACCCUUAAUCGAACUCUUGUGGUCAGAGAGCACCAAAGCAACCGGGAGCUUCAGGAAGCACGCAAAGAAUUAAUUAAAGCUAUGAACAACUUCUCAAACAAUCAUGCUGUAAUUGGGAUCAAGCGACUAGGAGAGCUAAAUGAGAAACCAUUUAGAGAUGUAUGUUCAAAGAAAUUUUCAGCUGGAGAAUGGGAUGUGAAAUCUUCCGAGUUAUGCUCAACAUGGCAAGAACACAUUAAGAAUUCUGACUGGCAUCCUUUCAAAACAAUCAACAUAUUUGGAAAAAUCCAAGAAAUAAUAGAUGAGAGUGACAAGAAACUAAAAGAUCUGAGGGAUGAGUGGGGUGAUGAGGUAUACAAGGCUGUAAAAACUGCGUUGUUGGAGGUCAAUGAAUACAACCCAAGUGGGAGAUAUGCAGUUCCAGAACUUUGGAACUUCAGUGAAGAAAGGAGAGCCAGUUUGAAGGAGGCCAUCCAGUACAUCCUGAAGCGUCGAAGAAAAUAACAACGAAGGCAAGCAACCUAUGCUGCCAUACCUAUCCUAUGGAGCUCUAGUUUAAUGGUCUCCACCUGUGUCGCUGCUUGCGUGGAUCAUCAGUUGUAUGAAGAUUGGCAGCUGCUUUCAAGCCUGUAGUACCCUGUUUAUGGCUUCUUUUCUGCAGAAUCGGAAUCCUAUAUGGAUCAUCAUCUGGUUAUCAAUUUGAUCCGAGGUUUCAGGUCAUUAUUGGCCCUACUGUGCCCAGAAUCGCUUUGGAACUGGACUGUCCCAUUAAUAAUCAGUUCCAGUUCCCGGGUUUGAAACAGUUUAGUAAACAGUAAGGUUCUGGGAAUGGCUCCUUGGGACCAGAACCGAUUAGGAUCCAUUUCAAUUCCUCCCCUCUGGGAAAAUAAUUCGGAAAAUCAAGUAACAUCCAUGCCCUCUGGUGUCCUGCUGAAACAUUGGGGUGAUUGGCUUAAUUCUAAUCCUACAAGCAUGGCACUAUCUCAAUCUCAUGAGUUCACUUUAUGAAGAUCUGGAUUCUGGAGAGACAAUAUCAGUGCAAGAAUUGAAAAUUCGCAUUUUCAUUGGGAGAAAAGAACGUUACCCGGUCGUACAGUUCUGCAUCCAGACACAGGGAUGGUAAAAUGAUCACCUUCUGCCCCUCUGUUGGAUGCCUGGUAUGUGCUCCCGUUGGUCCCCAUGUUGGCACUGGGGCCACAUGUCAAAGUAGCAUUCUUUCUCCCUUUUCUUUUUUAUGUCGAUGACAUAGAGCCAGCUGCAUUAUUUGGAUCAUUUUUUUCACUUUUGCAUCAUCUUCAUAUGCGAACUCAUAAUUUUUAAAGCAAAGCCAUUUGAGGUGAUCAUAAUCCUUAGGCCUGUUUCUAAAAACAAAA